UUCUCCUAAAGGUCUGUCUGUCUAUCUGUUCUGUUCUCCUAAAGGUCUGUCUGUCUGUCUGCUCUGUUCUCCUAAAGGUCUGUCUGACUGCUCUGUUCUGUUCUCCUAAAUGUCUGUCUGUCUGCUCUGUUCUCCUAAAGGUCUGUCUGUCUGCUCUGUUCUCCUAAAGGUCUGACUGCUCUGUUCUGUUCUCCUAAAGGUCUGUCUGUCUGUUCUGUUCUCCUAAAGGUCUGUCUGUCUGCUCUGUUCUGUUCUCCUAAAGGUCUGUCUGUCUGUCUGUCUGUCUGUCUGUCUGUCUGUCUGUCUGUCUGUCUGUCUGUCUGUCUGUCUGUCUGUCUGUCUGUUCUGUUCUCCUAAACGUCUGUCUGCUCUGUUCUGUUCUCCUAAAGGUCUGUCUGUCUGUUCUGGUCUCCUAAAGGUCUGUCUGUCUGUUCUGUUCUCCUAAAGGUCUGUCUGUCUGUCUGCUCUGUUCUCCUAAAGGUCUGACUGCUCUGUUCUGUUCUCCUAAAGGUCUGU
ensembl:lncRNA